rnacentral:rRNA from 1 species
UAGGGAAUCUUCGGCAAUGGGGGCAACCCUGACCGAGCAACGCCGCGUGAGUGAAGAAGGUUUUCGGAUCGUAAAGCUCUGUUGUAAGAGAAGAACGUGUGUGAGAGUGGAAAGUUCACACAGUGACGGUAACUUACCAGAAAGGGACGGCUAACUACGUGCCAGCAGCCGCGGUAAUACGUAGGUCCCGAGCGUUGUCCGGAUUUAUUGGGCGUAAAGCGAGCGCAGGCGGUUUAAUAAGUCUGAAGUUAAAGGCAGUGGCUUAACCAUUGUUCGCUUUGGAAACUGUUAAACUUGAGUGCAGAAGGGGAGAGUGGAAUUCCAUGUGUAGCGGAGAAAUGCGUAUAUAUAUGGAGGAACACCGGUGGCGAAAGCGGCUCUCUGGUCUGUAACUGACGCUGAGGUUCGAAAGCGUGGGGAGCAAACAGG